rnacentral:rRNA from 1 species
UGGUGGACCGAUUUGUCUGGUUGAUUCCGUUAACGAACGAGACCCCCGCCUGCCGAUUGAGCGUUCGCUUGUCCCCCAUUGGCAAGGUCGGCGGAUCACGCGGCUCCGGCCGCGAGAACCAGCGCGAUCCUGUCUUCGAUCGUCGCCUCGUGGCAGUAAACAUGUCCGUGCGGGGAUCGAGCAAGCGAACGGACCUUUUCCUCUCUCUCCCUCUCCGGGUGAGGGGGGAACUGUUUGAGGCGAG